rnacentral:tRNA from 1 species
GCAGUGGUGGUUCAGUAGUAGAAUUCUUACCUUCCAUGAAGGAGACUCAGGUUUGAUUCCUGAUUAAUGAA